rnacentral:lncRNA from 1 species
GUUCUGUCAAAUUUUGCUGUAUAGAGGACUCAUUUACUUGGUCACAGUUAUUCCUUGUGUGUGCUGUCGAGUUACUUCCCUGAUUGUGUCUUCCAGAGGCUGGCAUUAAAAAUUGAGGUUCGUUCUUCCCAACUCAAGAAUGGUGACGGUGAGGCCUGCAGAUCCAGGAGAAACAGCAAAAUUAGCGUCUUUCUAGAAAAGUGUUGGAACAGGCGCGCGAUCCUCCACGCAGCAUGGAAGUGUGUCCUUACUGUAAGAAGCCGUUUAAGCGCUUGAAGUCCCACUUGCCGCACUGUAAGAUGCUACGACCACCUGUGCCUGCUGAUCAGGAUGUUUGUCAGUCCAAGCCGGCUGCACUCCCACAUGCUAAGAAAGUCAAAGGGCCGGUCAGAGACCCAAUUAAAGCUAGAGAGAGAGAGUUAGGGACAGACCACGAAAAAAGAAAUCCUGGCCUGAAAGGGGACAAGUCAGAGCGGACAGGUAAGUCCUCUCUGCUGCUAGCCAUUGAUUUGAAAAAAGCAAGUAGCGCAAAGGCUGAUAAAGACAUCAGGGAUCAAGUUCAGCCCUCCCUCAAGAUGUUAAAAAACACUGCAACAGAGAUCACUUUCCACGAAGAACCUACAGCCCCGUUUUCUGCAUCCGAGAACAUCACUCACAAAAAAGGACUUCCUGAAGAUUUGCCUAAAUCAGGGGAAGGUCGAAAUAACCCUUCAGAAACUGAGGCAUCUUUAUUUCUUGGCCCAGUGGAACCUUCUUUGUCAAGUCAAGAUAGAAAAUACUGUUCAGCUUUCCCUAAUGAUGUGCAAACCACUUGUGCUAACUUAAGAUUGGACAGAAUUGAUGCCCCAAGACAGAACCUUCGUGUAAAAUUGCAAACUGUUCCUUUCGGGGAUCAUCACAGUUCUCCAGGGGAUCUCGAUUGCGAUGGUAGGAGAGUAAGCACAUCAUGGCCAAGCAGGGUGAGAGUGCCCAAGGCCGGGGAGCCCCUCUCAGGAGUUGCUACUGAUCUUGGUGACACCAGAACUCAGGAAAAGAACACAGAACCACGAAUUGCAGCUUUUAAAGUUAGCCCAUUAGGUGCCAUCCAAGUCAGGGAGAACCAGGACCAAGGACUUAACCUUGCAACAGAGGCACAGGGGAGCAGUGGAAAUGCGGAGAACUGUGUCUUUGUGACAGAAAUACAGCGCUGGGCUCCCUUGAAUGAUGACCCUAAGAAGGCCUUUAGUAUCAAUGAUUCAGUCACGGCGAAGAACCCUCGCGGGGAAGGUCCCAAUAUAGACUUGAUCACGCCGCAGGAGACAGCUUGCAGGGAGCUUCUCUCUGCGUCACAGUCACGCAAUCCAAGUCUUGUCUCCCUGGCAAUACAAUUUCUCCAGGAAGGGAAGGCAGAAGCCUGCAGCCCUGCCGGCAAAGCAUCAGCAGAGCAUGAGGAGCAAGCUUCUCUGGCUCCCAGCUCGGGCUGUCGGCCCCAAGCAUUGCACCCCGGGGGCCAGCUGUCUCUGUGUUCAGCCCAGCCUCAUGCUGCUAAAAACCCCUUGGCCAGGAAGACCCUAUCAAGUGCCCUGGGGCUGGAGUGGUUUCCAGAGCUCUAUCCUGGCUAUCUUGGACUCGGUGUAUUGCCAGGGAAGCCUCAGCUUUGGAGCGCAGUGGCCCAGAAGCCUCUGCUCAUCAGCCCCCAGGGGGAAAGGCUUUCCCAAGGAGUUGAAGGUUGGACCGGGACAGGCUGGCCGGUGAUGUUGGUAACAGUUGAACCUCUACACUGCGAGAAGGCAUGACCUCUUCUAGAAGUUGAGUGGGCAUUCAUGCCGAACAGACACAGAAAAAGCAUAGAUUUCAGGGUCUGCCUAAAAACAAGACAAGCCCUGUGCUUAAGAUUUCAUCCAGGACCAGGUUGGACACAAAAUGGACUCCAGGCUCCGGGGUGUCAUCAUUUAUCUUUCCUACGUGGAACUACGCCAGUGCAGCUAGCGAGUCCUCCUACGUCAGGGUACCUGAGAAGACUUCAGUGGCCAGUCCACCAGGUGGAAAGUCAUCCAGGACCUUGGUUUUGAAGAAACAGGGUAGAACCAGUAGCACUCAUGGCUGAUUGAUGAAAAAUGGUUCCUUUGUUGGAAAGAAGUUCGACGGCAGUAAGGAGUUUGGAACCCUCGACCGAGCUCACAGCCUCCAGCUUCUCUCUAUUGAGGAUCUUGGGAGCUGUCCAGAAAGGCUGGAUCAGGUGCAGCACCACUAUGAAGAGCGGGGUCGGAGGCAUCACGAUGCUCUUCGCAGGGUACUUCGUCCUUUGUUGUAGCUGGAGCUUCAAGCAUCUGAAGCUGCAGCGCUGGCGUAAGCAGCACUGACCUGGACACCACUUAGAGAGCUUUGGCGCCCCAAGAAGAGGAUGGUGGAGACAGCGGCAGUGCCUCUUGAACAGCGCAAAAUUGUAUGGGGGCAGGGAGAGGGAGCGAAAGGAAUAAACUAUUGGAAUUUAACAA